AUACAACUUUCAACAACGGGUCUCUUGGGUCUCGCAUCGAUGAAGAACGCAGCGGAAUGCGGUAAGUAAUGUGGAAUUGCAGAAUUCAGUGGAUCAUCGAAUCUUUGGAACGCGACCUUGCGCUCCUUGGUAUUCCGAGGAGCAUGCCUGUUUGAUGUGUCAUU
rnacentral:rRNA from 1 species